UACGGAGGAUGCAAGCGUUAUCCGGAUUUAUUGGGUUUAAAGGGUGCGCAGGUUGUUUGAUAAGUCAGUGGUGAAAGUCUGUCGCUUAACGGUAGGAUUGCCAUUGAUACUGUUGGACUUGAAUAUGGAUGAGGUAGGCGGAAUGUGUAGUGUAGCGGUGAAAUGCAUAGAUAUUACACAGAACACCGAUUGCGAAGGCAGCUUACUAAUCCAUCAUUGACGCUGAGGCACGAAAGAGUGGGGAGUCAAACAGGA
rnacentral:rRNA from 1 species